CAAGCCAGUAGUUAAUAUUAGGCUCUUUCCGCCGAGGGAUCGGGUUAAGGGGAGGCUAAGAAAGUCGCAUAACAAUUAAUUAAUCAAACUAAUAUUCAAGAGGAGUAGGUAAGAGAGAGCGAAUUAGAUGAGAUUGUAAACCCCCAACAACAUCCAUUCAUCCAUUGUUUUCUUCCUGUCAUUUGAAUCAAUCAUUUUACAUGUUCAUAUUUUAUUCUCCUACACAAUUUAUUAAUUUUUAUUUUCAAGUCUUAUUAUUUUAAUUCACGCGAACGAGAAAGCCAUUCGAGUCUCUUGGGAAAACGAUACUUGGUCUUACCAUUUAUAUUACUUGUACGAUUUGGUACACUUGUCAAUCCGUCAACAAUGUGAUGAAACAAUGCGUAAAGAAGUGAUACUCCCCCU
rnacentral:lncRNA from 1 species